rnacentral:rRNA from 1 species
GAUGAACGCUGGCGGCGUGCCUAAUACAUGCAAGUCGAGCGAACAGACGAGGAGCUUGCUCCUCUGAUGUUAGCGGCGGACGGGUGAGUAACACGUGGAUAACCUACCUAUAAGACUGGGAUAACUUCGGGAAACCGGAGCUAAUACCGGAUAACAUGUUGAACCGCAUGGUUCAACAGUGAAAGACGGUCUUGCUGUCACUUCUAGAUGGAUCCGCGCCGCAUUAGCUAGUUGGUAAGGUAACGGCUUACCAAGGCAACGAUGCGUAGCCGACCUGCGAGAGUGAUCGGCGACACUGGAACUGGAACACGGUCCAGACUCCUACGGGAGGCAGCAGUAGGGAAUCUUCCGCAAUAGGCGAAAGCCUGACGGAGCAACGCCGCGUGAGUGAAGAAGGUCUUCGGAUCGUAAAACUCUGUUAUUAGGGAAGAACAAAUGUGUAAGUAACUAUGCACGUCUUGACGGUACCUGGUCAGAAAGCCACGGCUAACUACGUG